GCGGAACCAGUGAGGGCCUCUGCGGCAACUCCGGACCCCGGCCGGAUCCCUCCCCACCUCCUGGACCCCGCCUCCGGAGAUGGAUACCAGAUCCCAAAUGAAGGAGCCAGAAAGUCUCCUGCCCUCAACCUGAAGAUGUGGGGUCUUAGGCCAGUGCAGCCAUCCCAGAAAAUCAGGAGAUGUUAACUGGUAAUUCCAGAACAAAGGCUUCCUGUGAUUCUUGGGAACACAGUCCUCUACCAUCCGUCCGCGUGCCAUACCCUUACCGUGGAGAGUUCUGCCUGGCAGUACAUUAAGGCUCAGAAAAGCCCCAAGGGAGAGAAACCUGUUUCAUCCUGUUUAAUGGCUCAAUAAACAAGGUUAUUUGCACA